AGAGUUUGAUCCUGGCUCAGAAUGAACGCUGGCGGCGUGCGUAACACAUGCAAGUCGAACGAGAAAUUCCGGGCUUGCUCGGGAGAGUAAAGUGGCGAACGGGUGAGUAACGCGUGGGUAACCUGCCCCUGAAUCUGGAAUAACUUCGCGAAAGCGAGGCUAAUACCGGAUAUUGUCCCAGGGACCUCGGUUCUUGUGAUGAAAGAUGACCUCUUCACGAAAGUUGUCGUUCAGGGAGGGGCCCGCGUACCAUUAGCUAGUUGGUAGGGUAAUGGCCUACCAAGGCGAUGAUGGUUAGCUGGUCUGAGAGGAUGACCAGCCACACUGGCACUGAAACACGGGCCAGACUCCUACGGGAGGCAGCAGUGAGGAAUUUUGCGCAAUAGGGGAAACCCUGACGCAGCAACGCCGCGUGAGUGAAGAAGGCCCUCGGGUCGUAAAGCUCUGUCAAGUGGGAAAAAAGCUUACUGGUAAAUAGCCAGCAAGACUGAUGGUACCAUUGAAGGAAGCACCGGCUAACUCCGUGCCAGCAGCCGCGGUAAUACGGAGGGUGCAAGCGUUGUUCGGAAUUACUGGGCGUAAAGGGCGUGUAGGCGGUGUGGUAAGUCAGAUGUGAAAGCCCUGGGCUUAACCCAGGAAGUGCAUUUGAAACUGCCAUGCUUGAGUAUGGGAGAGGAGAGUGGAAUUCCCAGUGUAGAGGUGAAAUUCGUAGAUAUUGGGGAGGAACACCCGUGGCGAAGGCGACUCUCUGGACCAAUACUGACGCUGAGGCGCGAAAGCGUGGGGAGCAAACAGGAUUA
rnacentral:rRNA from 1 species